rnacentral:hammerhead_ribozyme from 1 species
AUCCAGCUGAUGAGUCCCAAAUAGGACGAAACGUACUUUCUGGAC